GGAUGUCUUGGCUCCCACAACGAUGAAGAACGCAGCGAAAUGCGAUACGUCUUGCGACUUGCAGAAUCCAGUGAAUCAUCAAAACUUUGAACGCACCUUGCGCUUCCGGGAUACUCCUGGGAGCAUGCUUGUCGGAGUGUCUGUU
rnacentral:rRNA from 1 species